UAAUUCUGCCCNCUGAAUAAUUUUAAAGGGCUGCAGUAUAUUGACUGUACAAAGGUAGCAUAAUCAAUAGUCUUUUAAUUGAAGACUUGUAUGAAUGAUUUGAUGAAAUAUAAACUGUCUCUUUAUUAAAAAUAAAAUUUAAUUUUUUAGUUAAAAAGCUAAAAUAAAUAUAAAAGACGAGAAGACCCUAUAGAGUUUUAUAAUUAUUAUGAUUUAUUUCAAUUUAUAUAUUUUAAAAAUAAAUUAUAAUGAAUAUUUUAUUGGGGUGAUAGAAAAAUUUAAUAAACUUUUUUUAAAAAUUAAACAUUGAUUUAUGAAAAUAUGAUCCAUAAUUUAUGAUUACAAGAAUUAAUUACCUUAGGGAUAACAGCGUAAUUUUUUUUUUUAGUCCGAAUAAAAAAAAAAGUUUGCGACCUCGAUGUUGGAUUAAGAUAAAAUUUAAAUGCAAAAGUUUAAAAUUU
rnacentral:rRNA from 1 species